rnacentral:rRNA from 1 species
GUGGGGAAUAUUGCACAAUGGGCGCAAGCCUGAUGCAGCAACGCCGCGUGAGGGAUGACGGCCUUCGGGUUGUAAACCUCUUUUAGUAGGGAAGAAGCGAAAGUGACGGUACCUGCAGAAAAAGCACCGGCUAACUACGUGCCAGCAGCCGCGGUAAUACGUAGGGUGCAAGCGUUGUCCGGAAUUAUUGGGCGUAAAGAGCUCGUAGGCGGCUUGUCGCGUCUGCUGUGAAAACCCGAGGCUCAACCUCGGGCCUGCAGUGGGUACGGGCAAGCUAGAGUGCGGUAGGGGAGAUUGGAAUUCCUGGUGUAGCGGUGGAAUGCGCAGAUAUCAGGAGGAACACCGAUGGCGAAGGCAGAUCUCUGGGCCGUAACUGACGCUGAGGAGCGAAAGCAUGGGGAGCAAACAGGAUUAGAUACCCCUGUAGUCC